GCAUGUCCUCGGAUCAUCCUCAGGGAUGUUUCCCAGACCGUCGCCAAUCGCCCAUUGAGCAGCUCUAGGGCGAAGUAAAUGAACUACAACUACAACUACAAAAUCUUACUACUAUAGAAAGGUAUAAGCAUUGUUUUUGUCAAAUUAUUGACUGUCGAAUAUUGACUUGUUUUUGUUGAAUUAUUAUCGAAUGUUAAGCCGCAUCACCCAAUUCCAUUUUGAAGGCUGCUUUUUACUUAUCCUGAAUCAAUUAUCAUGGCAACAGCGGGAACAUCAUCUGGCUUGAAAAAGAGGGUGCAUGGGGAGAGUGAAGAGUUUGAUGAUUCUCCGUCAUAUCAACCAUUUUAUUCUGAAGAUUCUGUAGAUGGUCGAGCUCCAGAACUUAUUUUAAGUACCACCUCACUACAAUCCCAAGAAACUUCAUUUAGCAGAACUCAUCGUCUUCGGAACAGCAAGGUUGACCCUGUCGAUCAAGUAGAGCUGAGAAAUCUUAGGCAAGAAACGUCACAAAAUAGGUCCACAGACCGCAACUCGUGUUUCUGUGUAGGGCGAUCGCAGUGCUUUUACACGGGACUUGUUAGUGUGCUCGUGUUCAUGGCGAUUUGCAUUGUUUUAUCAUCUUUUGGAGCACACUGCCUCCUUCGACAUAAAGUUUGUAAUUGUUCAGAAAAUCUCGAAACUAAUGAAACCUUCCCCGAUUAUUAUGUUACAAAUGCUACUGUAAAUAUUUAAAAAAAAAAUUCUAAAAUGUUGCUGUUAAUGCUUACUUGCAAGCUGUUUGUUCUUUAAAUAAAUAUAACUUUCUAGUAAAA